CCUACGGGUGGCAGCAGUGGGGAAUAUUGCACAAUGGGGGAAACCCUGAUGCAGCGACGCCGCGUGAGUGAAGAAGUAUUUCGGUACGUAAAGCUCUAUCAGCAGGGAAGAAAAUGACGGUACCUGACUAAGAAGCCCCGGCUAACUACGGUCCAGCAGCCGCGGUAAUACGGAGGGGGCCAGGGUUAUCCGGGUUUACUGGGGGUAAAGGGAGCGUAGACGGCGGCGCAAGUCUGGAGUGAACUCCCAGGGCUUAACCAUGGAACUGCUUUGGAAACUGUGCCGCUAGAGUGCAGGAGAGGUAAGCGGAAUUCCUAGUGUAGCGGUGAAAUGCGUAGAUAUUAGGAGGAACACCAGUGGCGAAGGCGGCUUACUGGACUGUAACUGACGUUGAGGCUCGAAAGCGUGGGGAGCAAACAGGAUUAGAUACCCGUGUAGUC
rnacentral:rRNA from 1 species